CGGGCUCUUGAGGAGCUCCUGGUGGCACCUGAAAUCUGUCCUGAGGAAUAGAAGCUUCUACAGGAAAACCCAUCACUGGAGCUGUGAUCGGAGCAGGUGACGAAUGGUUUUCCUGUGGCAGACAAUCAAAUAUCCAAAACAGGUCCAAAAUAAAAUCCAUGUACUACACGGCUCUCUGGAAUCGGUCAACGGCGCCAUCUAGCGGUCUGAUAUUUCUGAGUAACAACCGCAUAUCCGGGAUUAAGACGCAUCAUAUCGCUCAUCCGGGUAUUGAUGGUCAUCUUUCCUACUUCAUUCGGCGAUCUCUACAAUGCGAGAGGAGAGGAGCAGUCUCUCUGUGACAUCCAGCAGUCCACCAGACGCUCAAUGUUUCCAGAGCAGAUGAAACACAAACAGGCCUGCAGACAGCGUUUCUCUGUACCUACAGCCUCCAGACGAGAGCCCAGAAUCAAUCGGAUCGACUGACUUCGCCAGUGUUUGGGUUCCAGCACAGGAUCCGGUUGUCUUUGCCGCUGCUCAGCAGAAGCUCUGGAUCGGCCUGACUCCACGAGAUGGACAGAAUUCCUCUGGAAGAUUAAAGAAAAUGACUUUGAGCGGUGAGGUGGCAAACCGAAGGUCCCAUAUCUGUAUCACAGGAAGUCUGUCGUCCUCUGAUGCCAAAACCAGCUGAGUGGCCACAUCUGGAUGCCACAACAUCCCAGAACAGUGCAUCUGAAAAAUUCAUA